AAACUUUCAACAACGGAUCUCUUGGUUCUGGCAUCGAUGAAGAACGCAGCGAAAUGCGAUAAGUAAUGUGAAUUGCAGAAUUCAGUGAAUCGUCGAAUCUUUGAACGCACAUUGCGCCCGCCAGUAUUCUGGCGGGCAUGCCUGUCCGAGCGUCAUUU
rnacentral:rRNA from 1 species